AACGAACGCUGGCGGCAGGCCUAACACAUGCAAGUCGAGCGAGACCUUCGGGUCUAGCGGCGGACGGGUGAGUAACGCGUGGGAACGUGCCCUUUGGUUCGGAAUAGCCCCGGGAAACUGGGAGUAAUACCGGAUAAGCCCUACGGGGGAAAGAUUUAUCGCCAAAGGAACGGCCCGCGUUGGAUUAGGUAGUUGGUGGGGUAAUGGCCUACCAAGCCGACGAUCCAUAGCUGGUUUGAGAGGAUGAUCAGCCACACUGGGACUGAGACACGGCCCAGACUCCUACGGGAGGCAGCAGUGGGGAAUCUGAGACAAUGGGGGAAACCCUGAUCUAGCCAUGCCGCGUGAGCGAUGAAGGCCUUAGGGUUGUAAAGCUCUUUCAGUGGGGAAGAUAAUGACUGUACCCACAGAAGAAGCCCCGGCUAACUCCGUGCCAGCCGCCGCCGUAAAAC
rnacentral:rRNA from 1 species